UACGGAGGGUGCAAGCGUUAAUCGGAAUUACUGGGCGUAAAGCGUGCGCAGGCGGUUUUGUAAGUCUGACGUGAAAUCCCCGGGCUCAACCUGGGAACUGCAUUUGUGACUGCAUCGCUGGAGUGCGGCAGAGGGGGAUGGAAUUCCGCGUGUAGCAGUGAAAUGCGUAGAUAUGCGGAGGAACACCGAUGGCGAAGGCAGCCCCCUGGGUCAAGAUUGACGCUCAUGCACGAAAGCGUGGGGAGCAAACAGG
rnacentral:rRNA from 1 species